rnacentral:sRNA from 1 species
AAUGUUAAAGGAAUUGGUAGAUUUGAAAACAUGUGUAGGUCGAGCAUAUGAGUCGGAUUGAUUGAUAAUAAGGCAUUA